rnacentral:ncRNA from 1 species
GAUAACUGGCUUGUGGCAGCCAAGCGUUCAUAGCGGCGUUGCUUUUUGAUCCUUCGAUUUCGGCUCUUCCUAUCAUUGUGAAGCAGAAUUCACCAAGUGUUGGAUUGUUCACCCACCAAUAGGGAACGUGAACUGGGUUUAGACUGUCGUGAGACAGGUU